rnacentral:rRNA from 2 species
GUGCUGUGAGCUCGAUGAGUAGGGCGGGACACGUGGUAUCCUGUCUGAAUAUGGGGGGACCAUCCUCCAAGGCUAAAUACUCCUGACUGACCGAUAGUGAACCAGUACCGUGAGGGAAAGGCGAAAAGAACCCCGGCGAGGGGAGUGAAACAGAACCUGAAACCGUGUACGUACAAGCAGUGGGAGCCCCACCACUAAGCCAGUGGUGAACUCCACAUACGCAUCCUUUGCUGAGGAUGCGGUUAACGGAGCGAAAGCGACGUUCAACCGCAAAAGAAGCAGAGGGGGCUUAGUGGUGGGGUGACUGCGUACCUUUUGUAUAAUG